CUAAUUAUUAAUCUUCGUACCGCUGUUCAUUCGCCCCAUCUCUCUCUCCCCCGCCGCGACUCUCUUUCCGCAGCCCCAGCGCCACCUCUCUGCUCCCCGCGGCCACCAUCCCCGCCGCCACUCUCUUUCCGCAGCCCCAGCGCCACCACUCUGCUCCCCGCGGCCACCAUCCCCGCCGCCACUCUCUUUCCGCAGCCCCAGCGCCACCACUCUGCUCCCCGCGGCCACCAUCCCCGCCGCCACUCUCUUUCCGCAGCCCCAGCGCCACCCCUCUGCUCCCCGCGGCCACCAUCCCCGCCGCCACCAACCCACAACCCACAUCACCAUGUCUAGUUCGGGAGGCAUGACGGGCUCCGGUGAAGACGUACAGCGGGGCGACUCCAAGUCGGACGACUCUAGCUCAGAUACAUCUGUCUCCUCUGCAACAAGCGGUAGGGGGAGGAGGAAAGGAAAAGGAAAGACAGUGUCUCUCAGGGACUUCCAUAGUCGUCAGCAUGGAGUUCAGUCUGCGGUUUCUAGUCCUUCAAGGCAAACUCCUACUGCUUCUCCAACUCAGCCUCGUCCGAAUCUCAAUAGUAGUCAGGAAUACCCUUUCCUUGGUGCUUUGAGUGGUUCGGCUGCUGAUCCUCGACAGCUUGAUCAGCAGAAGGCCAGAGAAGAACUCGUGCUUGAUGACCGGGUGGCUCGUCUGAAGGCCCUGAAGAUCUCAUGGAAGAGCUCGCCAGGAAAGGCAGUGCAGGGCUGGCUGCUGAGAACAACCGGUUGAAGAAGGAGUUCGCCCACCUGCUUCAAAACUAUGAGAUGAAAGGCAGCAUGAGUUACUAUGGAUGCAGAGCAUUAUUAAUGGUCCCAACCGAGGAUCAUACUUUUAAAGUGGACUUCCAAGCAUAUUCUCGGUCAGGGAUACAUUGACUUGGCACUGAAUGUUGUGGAGAAAAAAGAAGAUGACACUAGCCAUGGAUGGUUGUUAGGAACAACUAUAAAUUUUCUCAGGACACUGCGUCUGCUUGAUAAGGAUGAAUUGCAAGGUGUUAUCUUGGAAUUUGAAAAUUUGCCCGUAACAUUGAAAUCCUUCGCUCAGUAUGCUGCUGCAGAAUUGGUUCAGAGAGAUACUUCGCCGUUUGGACUCGAACAUGAUCUAGUGAUACCUGUGUUUGUUGGCAGACAAAUAUAUAUCAAUGGGCAGAGGCACAUGCUUGAGAGGCAUAGUGCUGGCGAAACCUGGGAAGACAGUUUGAGGAGGAAGACAUUUAUGUCAUUGUAUUUAGUCGUAUAAGUAUGUCAUGCUAUAUUUGAGCAGGUGUCCAAAAGCUCUUAUGUAGUCCUGAAAAUCGAGUCUUAGGUCUCAAAAAGAUGCAUCAAAUCUUGGCUGCGAAGUAUCAACUUGAUGGCCAUUUCCCUCCACAUUUCGACUGCCUGUAAAAUGAUAUGCGUGCCUUAGAUGCUGCAACCAUUGAUAAGAGCUCAAUACUACAAUAUCUUCCUUGUCAUGUGGCUCUCAUGCCAUUUGUAGCAACUGAAUAUAUCAUCGAGAAGUUGUACAAGGCUACUAUGAGAGUGUGUGGAUUUCACCCGAGGAAUAUAGUGAUUAUAUCGA